rnacentral:tRNA from 1 species
GCCCGGGUGGCGAAACGGCAGACGCGGCGAUCUUAAAAAUCGCUGCCCACCAGGGCACACGGGUUCGACUCCCGUCCCGGGCA